rnacentral:misc_RNA from 1 species
GAUGAAGAACGUAGCGAAAUGCGAUAACUAAUGUGAAUUGCAGAAUUCAGUGAAUCAUCGAGUCUUUGAACGCACAUUGCGCCCCCUGGUAUUCCGGGGGGCAUGCCUGUCCGAGCGUCAUUGCUGCCCUCAAGCACGGCUUGUGUGUUGGGCUCCGUCCCCCCGGGGACGGGCCCGAAAGGCAGCGGCGGCACCGAGUCCGGUCCUCGAGCGUAUGGGGCUUUGUCACCCGCUCUGUAGGCCCGGCCGGCGCCGGCCGACAACCCAUCAUCCUUUUCAGGUUGACCUCGGAUCAGGUAGGGAUACCCGCUGAACUUAAGCAUAUCAAUAAGCGGAGGA